GUCUACGGCCAUGCCGCCCUGAACAAGCCCGAUCCCAUCUGAUCUCGGAAGCUAAGCAGGCCCUGGUUAAUACUUGGAUGGGAGACCGCCUAGGAAGACCAGGUGCUGUAGGCG
rnacentral:rRNA from 1 species